rnacentral:rRNA from 1 species
UACAGAGGUCCCGAGCGUUUGUUCGGAUUCAUUGGGCGUAAAGGGUGCGUAGGUGGCGCUGUAAGUGGGGUGUGAAAUCCCGGGGCUUAACUCCGGAACUGCAUUCCAUACUGCGGUGCUUGAGGACUGGAGAGGAGACUGGAAGUUUACGGUGUAGCAGUGAAAUGCGUAGAGAUCGUAAGGAAGACCAGUGGCGAAGGCGGGUCUCUGGACAGUUCCUGACACUGAGGCACGAAGGCCAGGGGAGCAAACGGG